UAGGGAAUCUUCCACAAUGGACGAAAGUCUGAUGGAGCAACGCCGCGUGAGCGAUGAAGGCCUUCGGGUCGUAAAGCUCUGUUGUUAGGGAAGAACAAGUACCGGAGUAACUGCCGGUACCUUGACGGUACCUAACCAGAAAGCCACGGCUAACUACGUGCCAGCAGCCGCGGUAAUACGUAGGUGGCAAGCGUUGUCCGGAAUUAUUGGGCGUAAAGCGCGCGCAGGCGGUCCUUUAAGUCUGAUGUGAAAGCCCACGGCUCAACCGUGGAGGGUCAUUGGAAACUGGGGGACUUGAGUGCAGAAGAGGAAAGCGGAAUUCCACGUGUAGCGGUGAAAUGCGUAGAGAUGUGGAGGAACACCAGUGGCGAAGGCGGCUUUCUGGUCUGUAACUGACGCUGAGGCGCGAAAGCGUGGGGAGCAAACAG
rnacentral:rRNA from 1 species